AGAGUUUGAUCAUGGCUCAGAAUCAACGCUGGCGGCGUGCCUAACACAUGCAAGUCGCACGAGAAAGUGGAGCAAUCCAUGAGUACAGUGGCGCACGGGUGAGUAACACGUGACUAACCUACCCUCGAGUGUGGAAUAACUGAGAGAAAUCUUAGCUAAUACCGCAUAAUACCUACGGGUCAAAGCAGCAAUGCGCUUGAGGAGGGGGUCGCGGCAGAUUAGUUAGUUGGCGGGGUAAUGGCCCACCAAGACGAUGAUCUGUAUCCGGCCUGAGAGGGCGCACGGACACACUGGAACUGAAACACGGUCCAGACUCCUACGGGAGGCAGCAGUGGGGAAUUUUGCGCAAUGGGGGAAACCCUGACGCAGCAACGCCGCGUGGAGGAUGAAAUCCCUUGGGAUGUAAACUCCUUUCGAUAGGGAAGAUAAUGACGGUACCUAUAGAAGAAGCCCCGGCUAACUUCGUGCCAGCAGCCGCGGUAAUACGAGGGGGGCAAGCGUUGUUCGGAAUUAUUGGGCGUAAAGGGUGCGUAGGCGGUUUGACAAGUCUUGUGUGAAAUCUAUGGGCUCAACCCAUAGUCUGCACGGGAAACUGUCGGGCUUGAGUAUUGGAGAGGUGAGUGGAAUUUCCGGUGUAGCGGUGAAAUGCGUAGAUAUCGGAAGGAACACCUGUGGCGAAAGCGGCUCACUGGACAAUAACUGACGCUGAUGCACGAAAGCUAGGGGAGCAAACAGGAUUAGAUACCCCCGUAGUCC
rnacentral:rRNA from 1 species